UUUAAAAAGUUUGUUUAAAAUCUUGUUUUUGUUAUCCAAAAAAAUGUUAUAAUACUGAACUAUCAUUUUGUGUUUUCAAGUGUGGAAAGCGGGAAAAGGAGACGACAACCGCGACGACAACGGCCCGACGCCGCUGAUGACGUUCUCGCCGAAUAAUUGAUGAUGGCCUGGCGGCUCACACUGGUAAUCAAACACCCAAAGAGUUGAUUCGCUUUUUGAGAAAUUCAAGUGACCGCAAAACAAACAAUUUCCUGGUGCAAAAAAAAAGAGGAGGAAAAUCACCCGCCAGGAAUCCAGAGGGCUUAACCAUUGCACUUUGCCCGUACAUUUGCGAAUCCCCACAGCAAUCAACCUAAUUUAUUGCGACUCCCCGAAACCCAGUGAAACUCGAACCGCAGCCAAUGACUGUCAUUCAUCUAUGAAUGUUAAUAAUUUCCAUUGCCUUUUGGCCAAAUGCGAAAUUCAACAACCACACCAUUGCAUUGCAUUUCAUUGGCCUGUGAGUUUUUGUGGCUGCAGCCCUGGCAUUCACUCUGCGGUUUUUAUUUCCUCGGUUGCUUUGAAGCCCUUGAGUCAGUC
rnacentral:lncRNA from 1 species